rnacentral:lncRNA from 1 species
AGAUUAGCUGUUUGUUCCAGCUCUGGCCUGGGAAGUCAGAAUGCUGCCAACUGUUUUGAUAGGAGGAGGUUUGACAGCAGAUCAGCUCCUUGCUCAGCCUCACUGAAACCAAACAGUCAUCAGUUAAAUAUGCCAGAUGAAGAGUCUGUGAUAGAGAACACUUGCUGGAUCAAAACCAAGAAUGAAAGCUCUUCUUUCUUAAACUUCAGUUGUAGGUAGUCUGCUUCCACAUACAAUGUAGAAAAGAGCAUUGCUACCAAUCUAACAAGAAAAAAUUGAAAAACUACAGGACUGUAACUUUUCAUGAACCCAUCAGAGACAAGGUGCGGAGG